rnacentral:misc_RNA from 1 species
GGCAGAUUCUGGUGAAUCUGCC